AGCGAACGCUGGCGGCAGGCCUAACACAUGCAAGUCGAACGGAGUGGCGGACGGGUGAGGAACACGGGGGAACGUGCCCUUUGGUUCGGAACAACUCAGGGAAACGUGAGCUAAUACCGGAUGCCAUUGAAGCGGCCCGCGUCUGAUUAUGUAGUUGGUGAGGUAAAGGCUCACCCAGGGGACGAUCAGUAGCUGGUCUGGGAGGAUGAUCAGCCACAUUGGGACUGGUACACGGCCCAAACUCUCACGGGAGGCAGCAGUGGGGAAUCUUGCGCAAUGGGCGAAAGCCUGACGCAUCCAGGCCGCGUGAAUGAUUAAGGUCUUAGGAUGGUAAAAGUGUUUCUCCGGGGACGCGGUACCCGGAGAAGAAGCCCCGGCUAACUUCGUGCCAGCAGCCGCGGUAAUUC
rnacentral:rRNA from 1 species